rnacentral:rRNA from 1 species
GCGUUAAGUUGCAGGGUAUAGACCCGAAACCCGGUGAUCUAGCCAUGGGCAGGUUGAAGGUUGGGUAACACUAACUGGAGGACCGAACCGACUAAUGUUGAAAAAUUAGCGGAUGACCUGUGGCUGGGGGUGAAAGGCCAAUCAAACCGGGAGAUAGCUGGUUCUCCCCGAAAGCUAUUUAGGUAGCGCCUCGUGAAUUCAUCUCCGGGGGUAGAGCACUGUUUCGGCUAGGGGGCCAUCCCGGCUUACCAACCCGAUGCAAACUGCGAAUACCGGAGAAUGUUAUCACGGGAGACACACGGCGGGUGCUAACGUCCGUCGUGAAGAGGGAAACAACCCAGACCGCCAGCUAAGGUCCCAAAGUCAUGGUUAAGUGGGAAACGAUGUGGGAAGGCCCAGACAGCCAGGAUGUUGGCUUAGAAGCAGCCAUCAUUUAAAGAAAGCGUAAUAGCUCACUGGUCGAGUCGGCCUGCGCGGAAGAUGUAACGGGGCUAAACCAUGCACCGAAGCUGCGGCAGCGACACUGUGUGUUGUUGGGUAGGGGAGCGUUCUGUAAGCCUGCGAAGGUGGCCUGUGAGGGUUGCUGGAGGUAUCAGAAGUGCGAAUGCUGACAUAAGUAACGAUAAAGCGGGUGAAAAGCCCGCUCGCCGGAAGACCAAGGGUUCCUGUCCAACGUUAAUCGGGGCAGGGUGAGUCGACCCCUAAGGCGAGGCCGAAAGGCGUAGUCGAUGGGAAACGGGUUAAUAUUCCCGUACUUGGUGUUACUGCGAAGGGGGGACGGAGAAGGCUAUGUUGGCCGGGCGACGGUUGUCCCGGUUUAAGCGUGUAGGCUGGUUUUCCAGGCAAAUCCGGAAAAUCAAGGCUGAGGCGUGAUGACGAGGCACUACGGUGCUGAAGCAACAAAUGCCCUGCUUCCAGGAAAAGCCUCUAAGCAUCAGGUAACAUCAAAUCGUACCCCAAACCGACACAGGUGGUCAGGUAGAGAAUACCAAGGCGCUUGAGAGAACUCGGGUGAAGGAACUAGGCAAAAUGGUGCCGUAACUUCGGGAGAAGGCACGCUGACACGUAGGUGAAGUGAUUUACUCAUGGAGCUGAAGUCAGUCGAAGAUACCAGCUGGCUGCAACUGUUUAUUAAAAACACAGCACUGUGCAAACACGAAAGUGGACGUAUACGGUGUGACGCCUGCCCGGUGCCGGAAGGUUAAUUGAUGGGGUCAGCGCAAGCGAAGCUCCUGAUCGAAGCCCCGGUAAACGGCGGCCGUAACUAUAACGGUCCUAAGGUAGCGAAAUUCCUUGUCGGGUAAGUUCCGACCUGCACGAAUGGCGUAAUGAUGGCCAGGCUGUCUCCACCCGAGACUCAGUGAAAUUGAACUCGCUGUGAAGAUGCAGUGUACCCGCGGCAAGACGGAAAGACCCCGUGAACCUUUACUAUAGCUUGACACUGAACAUUGAGCCUUGAUGUGUAGGAUAGGUGGGAGGCUUUGAAGUGUGGACGCCAGUCUGCAUGGAGCCGACCUUGAAAUACCACCCUUUAAUGUUUGAUGUUCUAACGUGGACCCGUUACCCGGGUUGCGGACAGUGUCUGGUGGGUAGUUUGACUGGGGCGGUCUCCUCCUAAAGAGUAACGGAGGAGCACGAAGGUUGGCUAAUCCUGGUCGGACAUCAGGAGGUUAGUGCAAUGGCAUAAGCCAGCUUGACUGCGAGCGUGACGGCGCGAGCAGGUGCGAAAGCAGGUCAUAGUGAUCCGGUGGUUCUGAAUGGAAGGGCCAUCGCUCAACGGAUAAAAGGUACUCCGGGGAUAACAGGCUGAUACCGCCCAAGAGUUCAUAUCGACGGCGGUGUUUGGCACCUCGAUGUCGGCUCAUCACAUCCUGGGGCUGAAGUAGGUCCCAAGGGUAUGGCUGUUCGCCAUUUAAAGUGGUACGCGAGCUGGGUUUAGAACGUCGUGAGACAGUUCGGUCCCUAUCUGCCGUGGGCGCUGGAGAACUGAGGGGGGCUGCUCCUAGUACGAGAGGACCGGAGUGGACGCAUCACUGGUGUUCGGGUUGUCAUGCCAAUGGCACUGCCCGGUAGCUAAAUGCGGAAGAGAUAAGUGCUGAAAGCAUCUAAGCACGAAACUUGCCCCGA